rnacentral:lncRNA from 1 species
ACUCCUCAUCUGUGUCCUCUCUCAUUUGUCAGAUACCUGCAUGGUGCCCAGUCACAUGGGCUGAAGGCCAAAGAUAAUAUGUUUGCUGCUGCUUCUGUACGCCUUGGAAAUAUCAGAGAACACCCUGACUGACUCACAAAUUUCCUGGAAGCAGGGUAUGGACAGCAAAACACUGGGGGGCCUGAAACGGGAAGCAGGAAGGUGUCUAAAUCGAGAAAAGAGAGAAGAGCAUUAAGAGCAACUUAUAAUUUUCCCUGCAACUUUCCUUGAAUCUUUUACACUCUGUC